CUAUUAAGGGCACUAAUUUUGAUUUACCUCAUGUUAUCCAACAUUCCCCAUUCUAUGAAGGGAUGGAACACAUUGGAGGAGAUAUGUUUGAAAAUGUUCCAAAAGGAGAUGCUAUUUUUAUGAAGUGGAUUCUUCAUGACUGGAGUGACAGUCAGUGCGUGAAG